CAAGCAAUUCUCCUGCCUCAGCUUCCUGAGUAGCUGGGAUUACAGAUUUCAAGGUUGAUAAAGAACUUCUACAUGAAAAAUAUCAAAAUGUUUAAGCAGCCUCUGAAGUCUUUCUUAAGCCUCAUAAUAAUGGAUGGACUUCAGAAAGCUAAAAAUCAUUUCAAAUAUACUGAUCAUUUUUGAAUUUCUUUACUCAUUUAAAAAAUAUGCUGAUCUUUUGUUUUAAAUGGACAAGUUUAAUUAAACAAAAUAUGUUAAUGUUA